UACGAAGGCAGCAGUGGGGAAUAUUGCACAAUGGGCGCAAGCCUGAUGCAGCCAUGCCGCGUGUAUGAAGAAGGCCUUCGGGUUGUAAAGUACUUUCAGCGGGGAGGAAGGGAGUAAAGUUAAUACCUUUGCUCAUUGACGUUACCCGCAGAAGAAGCACCGGCUAACUCCGUGCCAGCAGCCGCGGUAAUACGGAGGGUGCAAGCGUUAAUCGGAAUUACUGGGCGUAAAGCGCACGCAGGCGGUUUGUUAAGUCAGAUGUGAAAUCCCCGGGCUCAACCUGGGAACUGCAUCUGAUACUGGCAAGCUUGAGUCUCGUAGAGGGGGUAGAAUUCCAGGUGUAGCGGUGAAAUGCGUAGAGAUCUGGAGGAAUACCGGUGGCGAAGGCGGCCCCUGGGACGAAGACUGACGCUCAGGGU
rnacentral:rRNA from 1 species